GCAAACUUGGUCAUUUAGAGGAAGUAAAAGUCGUAACAAGGUCUCCGUUGGUGAACCAGCGGAGGGAUCAUUGUAGAGUUUUUCAAACUCCCAACCCUAUGUGAACUUAUUCUUUUGUUGCCUCGGCGGCGAUGCCCUUCGAGGUAAAGCCGCCGAAGGCCCUAUAAAUUCAAGUUUUUUUUUAAUUAUCUCUGAGUGUCUUAAUAAAUACGUUAAAACUUUCAACAACGGAUCUCUUGGUUCUGGCAUCGAUGAAGAACGCAGC
rnacentral:misc_RNA from 1 species